rnacentral:rRNA from 1 species
AAAACGACUCUCGGCAACGGAUGUCUCGGCUCUCGCAUCGAUGAAGAACGUAGCGAAAUGCGAUACUUGGUGUGAAUUCGCCAAGAAUCCCGUGAACCAUCGAGUCUUUGAACGCAAGUUGCGCCCCAAGCCUUCUGGCCGAGGGCACGUCUGCCUGGGUGUCACAA